rnacentral:rRNA from 1 species
AGAGUUUGAUUAUGGCUCAGGAUGAACGCUGGCGGCGUGCUUAACACAUGCAAGUCGAACGGGCUCAUAUUGAAACCUAGUGAUGUAUGAGUUAGUGGCGGACGGGUGAGUAACGCGUGGAGAACCUGCCGUAUACUGGGGGAUAACACUUAGAAAUAGGUGCUAAUACCGCAUAAGCGCACAGCUUCGCAUGAAGCAGUGUGAAAAACUCCGGUGGUAUACGAUGGAUCCGCGUCUGAUUAGCUGGUUGGCGGGGUAACAGCCCACCAAGGCGACGAUCAGUAGCCGGCCUGAGAGGGUGAACGGCCACAUUGGGACUGAGACACGGCCCAAACUCCUACGGGAGGCAGCAGUGGGGAAUAUUGCACAAUGGGGGAAACCCUGAUGCAGCGACGCCGCGUGAGUGAAGAAGUAUUUCGGUAUGUAAAGCUCUAUCAGCAGGGAAGAAAAUGACGGUACCUGACUAAUAAGCCCCGGCUAACUACGUGCCAGCAGCCGCCGUAAUACGUACGGGGCAAGCGUUAUCCGGAUUUACUGGGU